rnacentral:tRNA from 1 species
CAGAUUGUAGCUUAUUUAAAGCUUUUUAUUUACAUUAAAACGAAAAUUUUAUUAAAUUUUAUCUGA